UACAGAGGGUGCGAGCGUUGUUCGGAAUUAUUGGGCGUAAAGGGCGCGUAGGCGGCGCCACAAGUCACCUGUGAAAACUCUGGGCUCAACCCAGAGCCUGCAGGCGAAACUGUGGUGCUGGAGUAUGGGAGAGGUGCGUGGAAUUCCCGGUGUAGCGGUGAAAUGCGCAGAUAUCGGGAGGAACACCUGUGGCGAAAGCGGCGCACUGGACCAUAACUGACGCUGAGGCGCGAAAGCUAGGGGAGCAAACAGG
rnacentral:rRNA from 1 species